UAGAGUUUGAUCAUGGCUCAGGACGAACGCUGGCGGCGUGCCUAAUACAUGCAAGUCGAACGCGUCCCGGUUAAUGAAGUUGAGUGCUUGCGCUUGAUUGAUUUAACUUGGUGACGAGUGGCGAACUGGUGAGUAACACGUGGGUAACCUGCCCCGAAGCGGGGGAUAACAUUUGGAAACAGGUGCUAAUACCGCAUAACAAUCAAAACCACCUGGAUUUUGGUUUGAAAGACGGC
rnacentral:rRNA from 1 species